GAUGAACGCUAGCGACAGGCUUAACACAUGCAAGUCGAGGGGUAACAGGGUAGCAAUACCGCUGACGACCGGCGCACGGGUGAGUAACGCGUAUGCAACCUGCCUAUAACUGGGGAAUAGCUCCCUGAAAGGGGAAUUAACACCGCAUAACACUAUUGAUUCGCAUGGAUUAGUAGUUAAAUGUAGCGAUACAGGUUAUAGAUGGGCAUGCGUGACAUUAGCUAGUUGGUGAGGUAACGGCUCACCAAGGCUACGAUGUCUAGGGGUUCUGAGAGGAAGGUCCCCCAACUGGUACUGAGACACGGACCAGACUCCUACGGGAGGCAGCAGUGAGGAAUAUUGGUCAAUGGGCGCAAGCCUGAACCAGCCAUGUCGCGUGCAGAAAGACUGCCCUAUGGGUUGUAAACUGCUUUUAUAGUAGAAGAAACACAUCUACGUGUAGAUGUCUGCCAGUAUACUAUGAAUAAGCAUC
rnacentral:rRNA from 1 species